GCCGAGGUGGCGGAAUUGGUAGACGCGCAUGGUUCAGGUCCAUGUGGGGGUAACCCCGUGGAGGUUCAAGUCCUCUCCUCGGCACCA
rnacentral:tRNA from 1 species